rnacentral:rRNA from 1 species
UACGUAGGCAGCAAGCGUUGUUCGGAGUUACUGGGCGUAAAGGGUGUGUAGGCGGUUCUUUAAGUUUGGUGUGAAAUCUCCCGGCUCAACUGGGAGGGUGCGCCGAAUACUGAGGGACUAGAGUACGGGAGAGGAAAGUGGAAUUCCUGGUGUAGCGGUGAAAUGCGUAGAUAUCAGGAGGAACACCGGUGGUGUAGACGGCUUCUGGACCGACACUGACGCUGAGACACGAAAGCGUGGGGAGCGAACAGG